AUUACCCAAUCCUGACACAGGGAGGUAGUGACAAGAAAUAACAAUACGGGGCUUAAGUCUUGUAAUUGGAAUGAUGGGAAUUUAAACCUCUUCCAGAGUAUCAAUUGGAGGGCAAGUCUGGUGCCAGCAGCCGCGGUAAUUCCAGCUCCAAUAGCGUAUAUUAAAAUUGUUGCAGUUAAAAAGCUCGUAGUUGAAUUUCUGCUGUAUUGCAUUUUCUCUUUUUAUAUGAGUUUUUGCAUUAUGGCUUAUUUCAGUAUUAAUUUUUUAUUAUUACUGAAUGUUUACUUUGAGAAAAUUAGAGUGCUCAAAGCAGGCUUUUGCCUUGAAUAGUUUAGCAUGGAAUAAUAAAGUAGGACUUUGGUUCUAUUUUGUUGGUUUUAGGUACCAAAGUAAUGGUUAAUAGGAACAGUUGGGGGCAUUCGUAUUUAA
rnacentral:rRNA from 1 species